UUAAAAAUCUGGCAAGGGAGAUACCGUGAUCACAAAGGUAGUUUUCCCAGGGCAAGGCUUAUCCAUUGCCCUGUGGAUGUGCUGACCCUUGUGAUUUCCCCAGACAUGGGAAGCUCAACUACAUAAUUUGUGAUAGUGGGAGACUGCUUUUGUACUCUCCCC
rnacentral:snRNA from 1 species